GUAGGUGGUUCGCCUGCGAAUUCAGUCUGCUUAGCAGGCAACAUCUCUACUGUGCUAGAAAUUACAAUAGUAUUACUAGCAGCCUGCCUAGCAGGUUCACAGAUCAAAUAGAGGUGGCCCUUAGGGGUUAAGAUAUGAUCGAUUGGAUGCUGAGAUGGCACUUUUUAAAUGGAACCUGCGGAAGGAUCAUUACUAGAGCAAAGGAUAGGCAGCGCCCCACAGAAGCUUGCUUCGUGGCGGGCUACCCUAC
rnacentral:misc_RNA from 1 species